rfam:Oryza rufipogon genomic scaffold, chr05
AAAAAGGCAAACCCUGGGUUUCCGUGCCAACGUUUGACUGUCCGUCUUAUAUGAAAUUUUUUUAUAAUUAGUAUUUUUAUUGUUGUUAGAUGAUAAAACAUGAUUAAUACUUUAUGCGUGACUUAUCUUUUUAAUUUUUUUAAUAAUUUUUUCAAAUAAAACGACGGUCAAAUGUUGGACACGGAAAAUAAGGUUUGGUUUUUUU